UGGGUGACCUGCCUCUAGGUGGGGGAUAACCCGGGGAAACUCGGGCUAAUACCGCAUAACAUCGUGAGAUCAAAGAGGGGCGCAAGCCUCUCGCCGAGAGAGGGGCCCGCGUCUGAUUAGCUAGUUGGUGAGGUAACGGCUCACCAAGGCGACGAUCAGUAGCCGGCCUGAGAGGGCGAUCGGCCACACUGGAACUGAGACACGGUCCAGACUCCUACGGGAGGCAG
rnacentral:rRNA from 1 species